GAUGAACGCUGGCGGCGUGCUUAACACAUGCAAGUCGAGCGGGCAAUUUAUCUAGCACUGAUUACUUCAAAUGGCUAUCGCCAGUGUAAUCACGAAUUUCUACCUUUUAAUAAAGAAAAAGAAAUUCAUGUACGCAAAUAGUGAUAACACAUGAAAGUGGAGUGAUGAGUGCUGGAUAAAUUGCUAGCGGCGGACGGGUGCGUAACACGUGGGUAACCUGCCCCUAUCACUGGGAUAACACACUGAAAAGUGUGCUAAUACCAGAUAACAUAAGCUUUUGGCAUCAUUAGCUUAUCAAAGAAUUUCGGAUAGGGAUGGGCCCGCGUCUGAUUAGCUAGUUGGUGAGGUAACGGCUCACCAAGGCAACGAUCAGUAGCCGACCUGAGAGGGUGAUCGGCCACACUGGAACUGAGACACGGUCCAGACUCCUACGGGAGGCAGCAGUGGGGAAUAUUGCACAAU
rnacentral:rRNA from 1 species